rnacentral:rRNA from 1 species
GUGCCAGCAGCCGCGGUAAUACGGAGGGUGCAAGCGUUAUCCGGAUUCACUGGGUUUAAAGGGUGCGUAGGCGGGUUUGUAAGUCAGUGGUGAAAUCCCCGAGCUUAACUUGGGAACUGCCAUUGAUACUGCAAGUCUUGAAUUUUCUGGAGGUAAGCGGAAUAUGUCAUGUAGCGGUGAAAUGCUUAGAUAUGACAUAGAACACCCAUUGCGAAGGCAGCUUACUACGGGAAUAUUGACGCUGAGGCACGAAAGCGUGGGGAUCAAACAGGAUUAGAUACCCUGGUAGUCCACGCCCUAAACGAUGAUUACUCGACAUUAGCGAUAUUACAGUUAGUGUCUAAGCGAAAGCAUUAAGUAAUCCACCUGGGAAGUACGACCGCAAGGUUGAA